CUGGUGAGAAUUAUUUCCUUAGCUGUUCAAUCGUGUCGGUAAAUUAGCAUGCAAAGCUAUCAGCUGUAAGGUUAGUUUGGGGGAAUGGCAACAGCAGGGCAAAUAAGGGAGUUAAAGGUAUUAAAAAGAUGCCUGGGAUUGCGGGAGCAUGAGCUAAUGAGGGAGAUAAAGUAUGACUAUUGGGCAAGGGCUGUGCUGUAUGACUGCAACAUGUAUUUGUAAUGGAGGAAGACUGACUGGGUGCGUGACUUCCUCCAGUAACGUUCAGUAGAACAGGAGCAUCUCUGCAGGUAGC